GAGACGGUGGACUUCAUUUCCCGAGUAAACCAUCGUCGAAAGACAUGCGGUGGCCAUCUGCAACUCGUAAAUAUACUUCCGCCUGCAGUGCUGCAGAAAGCUUGUCUGCAGAAGCAGGAAGUCCCCAGAUGGAGGCGCUGUUGACAUGAAGACAGUCAGACCUCAGAAGUAGAAACUGAAGGGACGAACGGGGAUUCGAACCCUGAAGCUCAGCGUUCCAAGCUUUGGACAAUACCUUUACGCCACCAUCAUGUUAGCGGUUGCGCGGCUGCAGAAAUGGCCUGAUGAUGAGACAAUCCAAGUAUAAGCGAAACAAAGACGAAGGGGGGUUCGAACCCCCAACCUCUGCGUCCGUAGGCAAAGACAAUACCGUUGCGCCACCUUCUCUUAUGUGAAUCGGCCGGCUCUUCUGUGGGUAGAAGAAGAUGACACAACAGAAAUAUUUACAAAAAAAUCUCAGAAAUUUUGCCUUCAUCUACUAACUUCGGACCUGAAGGCGAUGAACCUUGUUACCUAUGUCUUACAGCUGGUUCUUAGAGCCACAGCAGAGAGGUGAAGAGCCAGAGAGACAGAGCAGAGGGGAGAUUGAACUUACUAUCUUGGGAUUCGUGGAACAGGGUACUCUUGCACCACGAAGCCCUUCAAGAGUUCCUGGGUGUUCAUUAGUGAACUUAUUCGCAGACCGAUAAGAAUUAAACAGGAAGAGCUCAGCUUUGAAUAGCAGAGAUCCAGAUUAGGUGCUCUCCUAAAAUGAACUCUACGAAACUGUGGAAAAAUAUAAACUGACACCCUAAUAUAUUUUGGCUUAUUUAAAUAAAGCUUUUGAUUCAUUGGACUUCCCUUGAAUUUGCGAUUUAUGAUUAGAACAGGUGACUGACAAGUCCCAUUCAAACAGAUGACCUAAUUAAAUGUGUAAUGGUGUUGCAUCUUAUAGGUGUGCCUGAAAGUGAUUAGUUGGUUACAUUUUUUAUGCCUUUGAAUGUUUUCUUUUACAAGGAUGAAAAAUGUAAUCUAGCCAGUAAUGUACUAUGGAGAACAGUCAUUCUGUUUUUAUAAAGUGCAGUGGAUAUGUAUUGGGGGACAGGGCUUGUAAAUGCAUUUUAUUUUCUUCUUAAUAAUGAAAUAAAAUUAAUUGUGUUUUGUAAUUUUAUUCUGCAAUUACAUUUCAUUCUUGAAAGUUGUGCUGCCAUUGCUGAAUAAAAAUAAUGCACAAUAAGAACAGUGA